rnacentral:lncRNA from 1 species
AUAUGACAAAAUUCCAGUUUCUCGCAUAUCUUACAAGCUAGAGAAGGCUGAUACUUCAGCAGCUUGAAUUCAGACAAGCCUUUGCAUCUGCUGCCGUUAUUUAUCUUGAAUCUGGUGUCAAGAAAGCUGCUGUGAAGGCCAACGUAUGAAGGUAUAUUGCUCUUUGCCUGUGAAGGACUGCGAGCUACCUAAGUCAACUUAAGAAGAUUAUAAAAAACCACUAAGCAGAAAGCGACAUGAAAAGCUUUUGUGUAAAACAGAAGAGCUGAUAUAUCUUUUGUAGACUUUCAAAAUAACUUGCAUAUCUCUUUCAAGGCACUUGUAAUGUUUGGAAAAAACUCUUUUCCAGAUGUGAUGUAAUUAUUUAUUUUUUAAUUAGCAAAGCCAAGAGGUACCACUUUGAUAUAGGAUUUCAAGAUGUGGGGGUUCAUUUUGUUUUGCAUUUGUUUUAGUUUCGCUUUCAUAUCCUGAAUGUUCUUGAAUUUCUACAAAGCAAUACUGAUUUACAGAAAAACAAAAGGAAGUAGGCAUUUUCCAUGACAUAACAUAAAGUUAAGUCAUUUUCCUGCAAACAGAUUCAAAUGUGAGCAAAGAUUAUUCUGUUUUUUGUCAAUUAGAUGACAGAAAGAUGUGCAGUUUUGAUCACAGCAUUGUGCAGAGAGCUCUAGCCCAACGCUUUACAGAAUCACAGAAUUGUUGGGAUUGGAAGGGACCUCUGGAGGUCAUUUAAGUCCAAUCUGUCUGCUAAAGCAUGUUCCCUACAGGAGGUUGCACAGGAAAGCAUCAAGGCGGGUUUCCUGUGUAACCUUUUUAGGUUGUCUCUUUCAGUGUAUGACUGAACUACUGUUGAGAAAAUUAGGAAAACUAUAGAACUCACAAGCCCAGAUGAAUUAUGCUUUAGACAUACUUCUACUGAAACUGAAGAGCAUCAAAAUGUUUUCUACAUAUGUAGAUACCACAACACAAAUGUCUGAAGUGAACUAGAAUUAAUAGAAAUGAUUUCAUAGUUUGUGUAUUCACUAUUCAUUCCUUAGAUUUAUAGUAACAUCAAUAAGAACUCUCCCACAAUAUGUCGUUUCAGAAUAUCUUGUGUAUAUCUUAUCUUUUGAAGAAACACAACUACAUGCAGUGUCUCCUACAGAUCUUUGGUUUCACACUGAAAACCACUUUUUGAAAUAAAUAAAUAAAUAAAUGACAACCAUUGACUUGACAGAGAAGAAAAUAUGAAAUGGAACUAAUAAAAAAUAGAAUGCAGUAAAAGAUUUUGAUACAAGC